ACGGUGGAGUAACGACGUAUCCAACCUACCCUACUAGUAGAGGAAUAGCCCGGCGAAAGUCGGAUUAAUGCUCUAUGUUGUGUUUUGAGGACAUCUGACGAACACCAAAGGUUCACCGCUAUAGGAUGGGGAUGCGUCUGAUUAGCUUGUUGGCGGGGUAACGGCCCACCAAGGCGACGAUCAGUAGGGGUUCUGAGAGGAAGGUCCCCCACAUUGGUACUGAGACACGGACCAAACUCCUACGGGAGGCAGCAGUGAGGAAUAUUGGUCAAUGGGCGAGAGCCUGAACCAGCCAAGUAGCGUGCAAGGACGACUGCCCUAUGGGUUGUAAACUGCUUUUAUCAGGGAAUAAAGUGCGGCACGUGUGCCGUUUUGUAUGUAUCUGAUGAAUAAGGACCGGCUAAUUCCGUGCCAGCCGCCGC
rnacentral:rRNA from 1 species